GAAAAGGGAGAACUUUGUGUUGGUACAUUAUUUAUACCAACAACAGGAAAUAGGGGUUGUGAUACAGGAACAGGAGGCAUGGAUGUAGGAAGGCCAGGAGGGGCUAUAUGUGGAGGCAGAAGUCCAGGGGUGGUUGUUGAUGGUAGAGGUGGUCUCCCAUUGUGCACAGGAAACAAUGGCUGCUGCACAUAACCCAAUGAGGAAGCAGGUACUGAGACUGCUGGAGGCUGUGGAUACCAUGGCUGGGGACGAGGUGGAACUUGCCAAGCAUUCGGAGUCACCGGAACUGCAGAAUUGUACCUGGUGCAAACAAAACCAAAAGAAACAAACAGAUAAGUUAUUUAAGUAAAUGCUAAUCAUGAUGUACAGCAGUGACAUAAUUUCAAAAUUUCACAAAGCCGGUUGCAGAGGAUAUGCAAGAAACCUGACUAAAAACAUACAUUGGCCGCAUUGCACCCAAAGGUGGUUGGGGAGGAUAUGCAACCCCCAUCGAACCUGGCACCAUACCACCAACAAACUGGGUUGUUGGGAUGUUUACCUUAGCUACUUUUGAUGGACCGUCUUCCUCU
rnacentral:lncRNA from 1 species